AUUGAACGCUGGCGGCAGGCCUAACACAUGCAAGUCGAGCGGAUGAAGGGAGCUUGCUCCUGGAUUCAGCGGCGGACGGGUGAGUAAUGCCUAGGAAUCUGCCUGGUAGUGGGGGAUAACGUCCGGAAACGGGCGCUAAUACCGCAUACGUCCUGAGGGAGAAAGUGGGGGAUCUUCGGACCUCACGCUAUCAGAUAAGCCUAGGUCGGAUUAGCUAGUUGGUGGGGUAAAGGCCUACCAAGGCGACGAUCCGUAACUGGUCUGAGAGGAUGAUCAGUCACACUGGAACUGAGACGCGGUCCAGACUCCUACGGGAGGCAGCAGUGGGGAAUAUUGGACAAUGGGCGAAAGCCUGAUCCAGCCAUGCCGCGUGUGUGAAGAAGGUCUUCGGAUUGUAAAGCACUUUAAGUUGGGAGGAAGGGCAGUAAGUUAAUACCUUGCUGUUUUGACGUUACCAACAGAAUAAGCACCGGCUAACUUCGUG
rnacentral:rRNA from 1 species